rnacentral:rRNA from 1 species
AUUGAACGCUGGCGGCAUGCCUUACACAUGCAAGUCGAACGGCAGCACGGGUGCUUGCACCUGGUGGCGAGUGGCGUACGGGUGAGUAAUAUAUCGGAACAUACCCUAGAGUGGGGGAUAACGUAGCGAAAGUUACGCUGAUACCGCAUACGGACUAAGGUUGAAAGUGGGGGAUCGCAAGACCUCAUGCUCAUGGAGUGGCCGAUAUCUGAUUAGCUAGUUGGUGAGGUAAAGGCUCACCAAGGCGACGAUCAGUAGCUGGUUUGAGAGAAAGACCAGCCACACUGGAACUGAGACACGGUCCAGACUCCUACGGGAGGCAGCAGUGGGGAAUUUUGGACAAUGGGGGCAACCCUGAUCCAGCAAUGCCGCGUGAGUGAAGAAGGCCCUCGGGUUGUAAAGCUCUUUUGUCAGGGAAGAAACGGUCUACUCUAAUACAGUGGGCUAAUGACGGUACCUGAAGAAUAAGCACCGGCUAACUACGUGCCAGCCGCCGCAGUAA